ACUCAAAGGAAUAGACGGGGGCCCGCACAAGCGGUGGAUGAUGUGGAUUAAUUCGAUGCAACGCGAAAAACCUUACCUACCCUUGACAUGCCAGGAACCUUGCUGAGAGGUGAGGGUGCUCGAAAGAGAGCCUGGACACAGGUGCUGCAUGGCUGUCGUCAGCUCGUGUCGUGAGAUGUUGGGUUAAGUCCCGCAACGAGCGCAACCCUUGCCAUUAGUUGCGACAUUUAGUUGAGCACUCUAAUGGGACUGCCGGUGACAAACCGGAGGAAGGUGGGGAUGACGUCAAGUCCUCAUGGCCCUUAUGGGUAGGGCUUCACACGUCAUACAAUGGUCGGUACAGAGGGUUGCCAACCCGCGAGGGGGAGCCAAUCUCAGAAAGCCGAUCGUAGUCCGGAUUGUAGUCUGCAACUCGACUGCAUGAAGUCGGAAUCGCUAGUAAUCGCGGAUCAGCAUGUCGCGGUGAAUACGUUCCCGGGCCUUGCACACACCGCCCGU
rnacentral:rRNA from 1 species